rnacentral:rRNA from 1 species
CCUACGGGAGGCAGCAGUGGGGAAUAUUGCACAAUGGGGGAAACCCUGAUGCAGCGACGCCGCGUGAGUGAAGACGUAUUUCGGUAUGUAAAGCUCUAUCAGCAGGGAAGAAAAUGACGGUACUUGAUUUAGAUGCCCCGGCUAACUACGUGCCAGCAGCCGCGGUAAUACGUAGGGGGCAAGCGUUAUCCGGAUUUACUGGGUGUAAAGGGAGCGUAGACGGCAGCACAAGUCUGGAGUGAAAUGCCGGGGCUUAACCCCGGAACUGCUUUGGAAACUGUGCAGCUGGAGUGCAGUAGAGGUAAGUGGAAUUCCUGGUGUAGCGGUGAAAUGCGUAGAUAUUAGGAGGAACACCAGUGGCGAAGGCGGCUUACUGGACUGUAACUGACGUUGAGGCUCGAAAGCGUGGGGAGCAAACAGGAUUAGAUACCCUUGUAGUC